UGCGAAACUCGAAUGAACGAACGGGGAGAUUCAUCGUUAUUCCGUGGCGUGUUUGCGCUCGCUCUCGAUGUCGCGCGGCUUCGGUCGUGCGGUACGGCGUGCGUUACCACUACGUUCACGGACGGCGUGCACUUCUCCCUUAGUAAUACAUCGCGACCCGUUCGAUGUCGGUCUAAGCUCCGUUCGGGAGUCACUGUCUCACCUCUCGCGGGGUGUGGGCGGUGACCGUGACGGUCGCCGACCGGCUGUCGGACGGUAUCACAACGGAUCGCGUACGCGUUAACGCGCGUCCGGCCCGACGCAAGGUUACGUCGUUCUCACCUCCGUCCUGCCCGAGUGCGGGCGGGGGUGCGGCGCUCCUGUCGUCGCAGCCGUGCUGUCUCGGACUGUGCGCGUCCCGUGUCUGC
rnacentral:rRNA from 1 species